UACGUAGGGUGCAAGCGUUAAUCGGAAUUAUUGGGCGUAAAGAGCGCGCAGGCGGUAUGACAAGUCAGAUGUGAAAGAGGCCGGCUUAACCGGCAAGGGUCAUUUGAAACUGUCAGACUAGAGUGCAGCAGAGGAUAGUGGAAUUCCUGGUGUAGUGGUGGAAUGCGCAGAUAUCAGGAAGAACACCCGUGGCGAAGGCGGCUCUCUGGAACGCAACUGACGCUGAGACGCGAAAGCGUGGGGAGCAAACAGG
rnacentral:rRNA from 1 species